GCUUUUGGAAAGUCCCAGGGCACAAGCUCUGUGAUACCAGCCCCAGGUUGAAAGGCAUGUAGGUGCUCUAGGCUGACAGCCCAAGGCAUUAGAUGAGAGAUUGAACCCACUCUGAAGAUGGAAAGAAUAGGGAAACCCUAAGGGCAUAUGGAUUUUCAAGGGCCACAUCACAGAUGAGAAGAAGGAGCCUGUCUGAAAGAGCUGUGUUUUCAGAGCUCAGGCCCUGGGUGCACCCAGGCUUUCCAAAGCUGUGGGGUGAGUGGUGUGCGUGUCACUGUGCCUGCACUAGGCCUAAGGGGUGGGUGAACAGACAGAAAUCCAGAGGUUCGCUUGGGGAGCUUUGGUAAGAGACCUCGGCAAGGAACUUGGGAAAUGAUGUCAUUUCCUGGCAACAGAACCAAACAGAACACGGAAACCGGAUCUCCAGGCCUCACAGUGGAGAGGAGACCCCAGCAAGUUCGCGGGCAGCCUGGAUGUUUUGCUGGGUGCCUCGAGAGAGCUCACCGGCCAGGUGUGUGGGAACACAGUCAGUGCAGCCUCAGGAAACCCCUGAGAGGCCUCUGGCCCUUUGACCAAAGGAACAGAAAGAGCUUCCCAGUCGACGUGGCCGAUGAGGGGUCAACCCAUUCACCUCUCCGAGAGAGGCGUCGUAUCACCAACCCCCUGCCCGUGAGGCCCAGUGCAGGCUCCAGGUGAGUAUGCCUAUGGAGGGAUCACCCCAACUAAGAAAGAAUAGGAAUCAGGAAGGCCUGCUCCACACACACCACCCAGGACACAUCCCAAGGCCCAGUCUCAGGCUGCCAUGGAGCUCAGCACACCCGGCUCUGACCCUGAGCCCCGAGAACCCCUGCCUCUGAGGCAGCAGGAGGACCUGGAGCUCAGCACGGCAGAGCAGAGAGGUGAGGAGGCUGGGGCUGUGCAUGUGAGUGUGUGGGAAGGGGUGCUGAUCUACACAGGGAUGAGUCCCCAGAGCUGGGUCUGGGCCUGGAACAAAGGCUGGCCUCACACCACCCAUCUUUAACACUGCAGUUAGAGUGCAUCCUAUGCUGGGUAUUCUUUGUGAUUAUCUGGGAAGCUUUCUGUCCCCGUAUACAUACAUCAAAAUGCUGGUGAUGGCUAACCUUCUCUUCUCUCACAGCUCUAGCACUGGCCUCUCAUUACAAUCAGACUCCACCUCCAAAUCCUAUCCCUACAGCAGUGGGUGCUCCAGGUGCAGGAUCCAGGGAUCCACUGAGGGGACAUCGAGACCUGAGACUUCCCUUCCCAAAGACACUGGGCCAGCUGGGUACUGGCCACACACUGGGAAUAUCGGACUUCUGUGCCUGCAGGACCCCCAGCCACAGGCACCGAUGUCUCACCCCCUCAGAGAGAACAUCCACCUCCACCUGCAACUGUACCUGCCCGGACUUUGGCAGAAGAACCCGAGUCAGAGGAUGAGUCACCACCUCUGCAGGGAGAGUCUGCCCUGGCUCCUGCCCAAGACCCAGAUUCCCAGGAUGACUGACCCAUCCCUGCAGGGAGAAUGGGCCUCCACUCUGGACAGAGACCUAGAGCCCUUUUGGGAAACACCUUGUCCAGGGGAGCAGUUGGCUCUGCAGCCUCCAUCCCUGCCUGCUUCCUGUGGAUGCCAUCAACUCGAUCCCCACUCAGGGCAGAUUGAGUGCCCUUCCCCCAAGCUUAUUUGCAUCUGGUGUGUGUGUAUCUUUCUUGUGAUGUUUUAUUUUAUUUAUGGCUUUAUUUAUUUGUUUCUGUUAAGAUUCUCAUAGUAAAUUUAAAUUUAAUUGAUGCAG
ensembl:lncRNA